rnacentral:rRNA from 1 species
UACGAAGGGGGCUAGCGUUGCUCGGAAUCACUGGGCGUAAAGCGCACGUAGGCGGAUUGCUAAGUCAGGGGUGAAAUCCUGGAGCUCAACUCCAGAACUGCCUUUGAUACUGAAGAUCUUGAGUUCGGGAGAGGUGAGUGGAACUGCGAGUGUAGAGGUGAAAUUCGUAGAUAUUCGCAAGAACACCAGUGGCGAAGGCGGCUCACUGGCCCGAUACUGACGCUGAGGCACGAAAGCGUGGGGAGCGAACAGG